CAGUCGCCGCGGUAAUACGAAGGGGGCUAGCGUUGUUCGGAUUUACUGGGCGUAAAGGGUGCGUAGGCGGACUGAUAAGUCAGGGGUGAAAUCCCAAGGCUCAACCUUGGAACUGCCUUUGAUACUGUUAGUCUUGAGUUCGAGAGAGGUGAGUGGAACUGCGAGUGUAGAGGUGAAAUUCGUAGAUAUUCGCAAGAACACCAGUGGCGAAGGCGGCUCACUGGCUCGAAACUGACGCUGAGGCACGAAAGCGUGGGGAGCAAACAGGAUUAGAUACCCGGGUAGUCCCUGUCUCUUAUAA
rnacentral:rRNA from 1 species